UCCCUGGUAGCUUAGAUGGUAAAGAACCUGCCUGCAAUGCAGGAGAGCCCGGUUCCAUUCCUGGGUUGGGAA
rnacentral:tRNA from 1 species